rnacentral:rRNA from 1 species
GAUGAACGCUGGCGGCGUGCCUAAUUCAUGCAAGUCGAGCGAACAGAUGAGGAGCUUGCUCCUCUGACGUCAGCGGCGGACGGGUGAGUAACACGUGGAUAACCUACCUAUAAGACUGGGAUAACUUCGGGAAACCGGAGCUAAUACCGGAUAAUAUAUUGAACCGCAUGGUUCAAUAGUGAAAGACGGUUUUGCUGUCACUUAUAGAUGGAUCCGCGCCGCAUUAGCUAGUUGGUAAGGUAACGGCUUACCAAGGCAACGAUGCGUAGCCGACCUGAGAGGGUGAUCGGCCACACUGGAACUGAGACACGGUCCAGACUCCUACGGGAGGCAGCAGUAGGGAAUCUUCCGCAAUGGGCGAAAGCCUGACGGAGCAACACCGCGUGAGUGAUGAAGGUCUUCGGAUCGUAAAACUCUGUUAUUAGGGAAGAACAAAUGUGUAAGUAACUAUGCACGUCUUGACGGUACCUAAUCAGAAAGCCACGGCUAACUACGUG